rnacentral:tRNA from 1 species
GCGGGCGUAGCUCAGUUGAUUAGAGCGCUACCUUGCCAAGGUAGAGGUCGAGGGUUUGAGCCCCUUUGCCCGCACCA